rfam:Oryza punctata chromosome 5, whole genome shotgun sequence.
CAAGGCCGAGUGAUGAGCAAAAAUGCAUAGUUCAGAUGAUCAAACCCAAGUGGUUAUGAUUACUUUGAAUAAAUAGUCUUUCGCUCCUAACUGACGACCUUU